rnacentral:lncRNA from 1 species
AUGACAACAUCAUUAUUAUGGUUAUCAUUGUGGGAAAAGAGAACUAGAAAGAUCUGUGUCUUCUGGGUAACAAGUACCUGGAGACAUACAUGCUAUUAUGUGUAUUAUCUACAUAGAAAGUUUAUUCAAGGUUUAGAAAUAAGCCCAACUAAGACACGGUGA